rnacentral:rRNA from 1 species
UACGGAGGGGGCAAGCGUUGUUCGGAAUUACUGGGCGUAAAGGGCGCGUAGGCGGCCUGCUAAGUCGGAUGUGAAAUCCCUCGGCUCAACCGAGGAACUGCAUCCGAUACUGGCGGGCUUGAAUCCGGGAGAGGGAUGUGGAAUUCCAGGUGUAGCGGUGAAAUGCGUAGAUAUCUGGAGGAACACCCGUGGUGCAGACGGCUUGCUGGACCGUGACUGACGCUGAGGCACGAAAGCGUGGGUAGCAAACAGG